CUCUUUCUUGAUUUUUCAGGUGGUGGUGCAUGGCCGUUCUUAGUUCGUGGAGUGAUUUGUCUGCUUAAUUGCGAUAACGAACGAGACCUUAACCUGCUAAAUAGCCAGGCUAGCUUUGGCUGGUCGCCGGCUUCUUAGAGGGACUAUCGGCUCAAGCCGAUGGAAGUUUGAGGCAAUAACAGGUCUGUGAUGCCCUUAGAUGUUCUGGGCCGCACGCGCGCUACACUGACAGAGCCAAUGAGUUCUUCACCUUGGCCGAAAGGUCUGGGUAAUCUUGUUAAACUCUGUCGUGCCGGGGAUAGAGCAUUGCAAUUAUUGCUCUUCAACGAGGAAUGCCUAGUAAGCGCGUGUCAUCAGCAUGCGUUGAUUACGUCCCUGCCCUUUGUACACACCGCCCGUCGCUACUACCGAUUGAAUGGCUCAGUGAGGCCUUCGGACUGGCUCGGGGAGGUUGGCAACGACCACCCCGAGCCGGAAAGUUCGUCAAACUCGGUCAUUUAGAGGAAGUAAAAGUCGUAACAAGGUUU
rnacentral:rRNA from 1 species